GAUGAACGCUGGCGGCGUGCCUAAUACAUGCAAGUCGAGCGAACAGACGAGGAGCUUGCUCCUCUGACGUUAUCGGCGGACGGGUGAGUAACACGUGGAUAACCUACCUAUAAGACUGGGAUAACUUCGGGAAACCGGAGCUAAUACCGGAUAAUAUAUUGAACCGCAUUGUUCAAUAGUUGAAUACGGUUUUGCUUUCGCUUAUAGAUGGAUCCGCGCCGCAUUAGCUAGUUGGUAAGGUAACGGCUUACCAAGGCAACGAUGCGUAGCCGACCUGAGAGGGUCGAUGCACACACUGGCACUGAGACUCGGUCCAGACACCUACGGGAGGCAGCAGUAGGGACUCUUACGCGAUGGAGCAGAGCCUGACGUAGCAACGCCGCGGGAGUGAUGAAGGACUUCUGCUCCUAAAAUUAUGUUAUUCGGGAAGAAGAAAUGUGUAAGUAACUAUGCACGUCAUGACGGUACCUAAUCAGAAAGCCCCGGCUAACUACGUG
rnacentral:rRNA from 1 species